rnacentral:rRNA from 1 species
UACGUAGGGGGCAAGCGUUGUCCGGAUUUAUUGGGCGUAAAGAGCGUGUAGGCGGUCAUUCAGGUCAGCUGUGAAAACUCGAGGCUCAACCUCGAGACGUCGGUUGAAACCGUUUGGCUAGAGUCCGGAAGAGGAGAGUGGAAUUCCCGGUGUAGCGGUGAAAUGCGCAGAUAUCGGGAAGAACACCCGUGGCGAAGGCGGCUCUCUGGGACGGUACUGACGCUGAGACGCGAAAGCGUGGGGAGCGAACAGG